CCAACUUUCCCGUCCAACAAGUGAUCUGUAGACUUCAUGAGGAAAUGAAUGCUCUUUUGUCAACAGAACCCAAAAAGCAUGUAGAUGUAGAGGUACCCAAGCACAUGCAUAAUAAUGGACCAUUGCCAGGAUCUGAUGAUAAUUUUUCUCAGUUCAAGAAGGUCACUUACAAGAAACUCCAGUUCUCAAUAGAUUCUGGAGAUAACUGUGUGAAGGUUGGGUCAAAUAUAGGUCUGAUAAAGAACAUUUUGGUUAGAAAGGAUGGAGGUGAAGUGAUGGUACUCUUUGAAUCUUUUAGUAAUAUAUCCACCUUCUUUACAAGCCCACUAAGUUCAUCAGAUUUGGGUGUUUACAAGGUAUCACAUCUUAGAGGAAGGCUUGAUAUUAUUCCACUGUCAGAAAUAAUGUGCAAAUAUGUAAUGCUGCCUUAUAAGAAUGAUUUCUUUGUUGUAAUUCCAGUGAUUCACCAGUUUAAUAGACCAUGAGUGAUGCAGAAGUUGGGGCUAUGGUACUGGAUGUGUUAGUGUCUGCUUUUUUCUUUAUUUACUUAGGGUUGCAUUUUGCUUUAAAGACACUUUCGUGGUUUUGUCUUGUUUUUUCCAACAGAUGGGUGAAAUAUUUGUUUUGGUGGAAUUCCUUAAGACAAAUGAUGUGGCUGUAAUCCCUUCAUCAUGGCUAGUUAGCAAAGACAAAGCACUGUGGCCUCCAUACCUUUCCUCAACACGAAUAAACAAUGCUGUCCGCAACAGAGAUUCACCAUGUACAGAAUGGACGAAGUAUUCUGUUAAAAUCAUGUAUGAAUCAGGUACAGUAUAUAUACAUUUUUUGUUUCACAAAGGUUUUGCUAUAUUUUAUUCAGAGAUUGCUAAGAAUAGGAGUAGUUACAGUAACUGGAAUUACAUAAUUCCAGUUAUGUACUUCAUUUUCUGCUACUCUUACUAGCCAUUUCUGGACUCAUUUAAUAUUAUCAGUCAUACUUCACAGAACACUGCGGCAUCCAGUCCACCCACUGUUGGUUCAUCACCUGGGACCUGUGUGUGUCCUUGUCUGUUGUGUUCGUCAUCUGGGAUGUCUGUGGUUGUUUGUGUCUGUUGUGUCUAAUUGUGCCUUUGUUGUGAGUACCCUGUUGUGUUGUAUUCACUUAUUUCAACACGUAUCUGUGUCUUUUUCACUUCUUUCAUUACAUACUUUUUAGGAAAAUUAGAAAUAAACAAAUUACCUAUGAAUAUAGUAUGUGCUUAAUUCUUUCAUUGUGGCAGAUUUCUCAAAAACUUCAUGAACUAACCUGGUACUAGCAUAAGGCAAGUAAAAGGAAUGAUCCUGUAUGGUAACCAAUGAUAAUAAAUGAGUAAUAUUUACUAAAUUUAUCCACAGAUACAUAUGAGAGAGCAAGAGCAAAGUUGUCAACCGCUAUGUAUCAUUCUGACCUACUGACGGAGGAUUCUGAGGAUGAUAUCAUUAGCCGUUGUUCAAAAAGGAAGAGGAGGUGGAUCUCCCAGCAGAUACACUGACCAUGAAAGUUCUGAAGAGGACUGCUUUAGUUCAAGGGCUAAGACAAAAGCUUCCAGCAGUAUCAGGGAUGUGGAGGUAAAAUCCAAAGACCAGAUUGCAAGACCAGUUCCACCUAGGCCAUCUGUACCGAGCUGUAUUGUGUCACAGCCACAGCUACCACCACCUGAGAGUCUGGAUGUAAAUGCCCGAGAUGCAAGAAUCUUUAUGGUGUUGGAAGAACUACGUGCUAUACUGCAUUCCCACUCCACCAAGCUGAAUACUCUCCUCAGACACCACAGUGUGCAAGAACAAGAUCAAGCAGUACCAGAGGGCAUUCACUUCCCUGUGAAGGAUAUGAAUGAAAUGGAAGCCCUAGAAAGCAAACUGAUGGAUCCUGACCUAGAGAAGAAAGUUAUUGCAAGUCUGUAUGUAAUAGGUGGAUCAGGUCUUCCAGACACAGUGAGGCGCAUUCUGCGAUACACUGUGAGCAACUCCUUGGCCAUCCACUUCAAUUGGUGUGGCAAAGGAAUGAAACGGAGCUUUUGCACAAUGAAGCUGAAGGAUACAAUAAUUAGUAAGUGGCUUAUGAUGCAGUCACAGGCUAACAGUUAUCUCACCUAGAACAAGUAAACAAUGAAAGGGUCCAUUGGUAUACAAGACUGUAAUGUAAUGUGUUGUAUUGUUUAUCUUCAUUUGGGUUACUACGUGACCAGACACAAAUCCCUAAGGUAAAAGCAAUGGCUAGAACUACCCUACAUAUCCUUGUCUGCCAAGUGUGAUGGGAGAAAAUGUGUUUCCAUGCAGUUACAAAUAUGCAGUAAUGCUUAGUAUACAUUCCUAUAGUAUUUUUUUUCUGUGCUAUGCAUAGACUUAGUAAAUUUGCUUGCUUUGAUAUUCAGUCAUAUUCUUAAUUAACUCAUCCACAUAAAUUUUUUCUGCAUUGUAUUUCCAGUCUAAAACAGAAUAUUAGGCAAAACAGUGUUACACCUAGUAUACUCCAGAUGUUCAGAUUAGUACACAUCACUUAACUCAUGUGGUGCUUGAUUGAAUAGUCGAGAAUUUAAUUGUUUCUAUUGGAUAAUCUGCUUUUGACAUCUAUUCAUGUAUUUUAAUUUUGACUGUACAUUAAAGUUUUGUGACUACAAUACUAGCUUACCAUGUAGCUAUCAACUUUUAACCACUACCCCAUAUGAAUUGAGUUACUCAUGUCUAACUACUUACAUUUCAGAUUUGAGUAUAUUGAAGUUUACUGAGUUAAAGGCAGAUUUCCUAUUGACAGAAAGUGUCCGCAAGAAUGCAGAGCACAAGAGUGCAACAGCUGCCUCAAUUGAAAAAGUAAUGAAGGAGUGGUUUCGAACAGCCAGAGUUCGAGAUGGAGGCCGUCGGAGGAGAGAUGUAAGAACUUGUGAGAGCAGUGAUACUGCCUAGACUUUCUGGCAUUGCAUAUUCAAAGUUCUCUCUCUCUUGCUCUCUCUUUGUGCAUUAAUGCAUCAUAAAAUACUCAGUUUACUGGUACCAUUCCAGGCUUUCAUGCCACAGUGACACCACACAUUCCAGUCUCCCUCCAUGUAUCCUGAAGCUCUCAUCCCACUUCUCCAUUCACCUUAACAUGCACCUGUAUCCCUUUGAUGUGCUUUCACACCUCUUAAUGAUCUACCUGCUCCAUAUGCACACCUCCCGUCACAUUCCACAUAGCCCACAGUCAGUCCUGUUAGAUGCAUUUUCCUCAUUUAUAAAUGCCUGUACCUUAAUUUCAUUCUUUUGGCUGUAAUGUUUCAUCUGUACAUUAGUAGUUAAUUGAAAUGUUGUGGACAGCAUUGCUGUAAUGGAAGCCACUUUUAUUUUUUUUAUUUUUUUUUUAUUUUAUUUUCUUUUUUUUUCUGUAGGAUGUAGGGAUAGGAUUAUUAUGAUAUUAAUUAUGUAAAUACAGUCAUCCCCCGCCGUUCGCGGGUAUUUCGUUCCCGGACUUCGGCGCGAUGCGCGAAACCGCGAACGGCGGGACUAUAACCCUAUGGGAAAAUAUGCAUUUGGGGAAGUCACCUCUGACACGUCAUAUAAAACAUGUUUUUUUCGUUCUUUUUAAUGACUGAAAUGAGACAAGACCUUGUUAGACAACAAUAUGUAAUCAACACUCACCCUGGGGUCAAAAUUUAGUAGCACAGAAGACCCAAAAGUAGCCCAAUUUGCGAUAAGUAGCCCAAUCUGGCAACACUGCAGUGUGGCGGCGCGAAUUUUUUUUUUUAGGAUAAUGUUGCUAUGAGAAAAUCUCGACCAAUAGCAGUCGUCCCUGAGUGAGCUGCUGGCCAAUAGGAAAGCAUGACGUCACAGUCUAACCGUGACGUCACUCAGGAGCAACCUAACGUCCAUUGCCCCGCCUCCCUCCUCUCUCCCUUCCCCCCUCCUCUCUGCCUUCCUCCCUCCUCUCUCCCUUCCCCCCUCCUCUCUGCCUCCCUCCCUCCUCUCUGCCUCCAUCCCUCCCUCCCUCCUCUCUGCCUUCCUCCCUCCUCUCUCCCUUCCCCCCUCCUCUCUGCCUCCCUCCCUCCCUCCUCUCUGCCUUCCUCCCUCCUCUCUCCCUUCCCCCCUCCUCUCUGCCUCCCUCCCUCCCUCCUUUCUGCCUUCCUCCCUCCUCUCUCCCUUCCCCCCUCCUCUCUGCCUCCCUCCCUCCCUCCUCUCUGCCUCCCUCCCUCCCUCCUCUCUGCCUUCCUCCCUCCUCUCUCCCUUCCCCCCUCCUCUCUGCCUCCCUCCCUCCUCUCUGCCUUCCUCCCUCCUCUCUCCCUUCCCCCCUCCUCUCUGCCUCCCUCCCUCCUCUCUGCCUUCCUAUUUAGCGUCAGUGCAUCCGCGUGUACGCGAAACUGGGGCCGCGUAUAAGCGGGGGGGGGUCACAAUUAGUUGACCGCGGAUACGCGAAACCGCGAUGGGUGAGACCGCGAACGGCGGGGGGUGACUGUACUCAGUUUAGGAAUAGAGCUCAGGAUAGCUAAUGGUAAUUUUGUACUUAACACUGAUGCAAAGAUUAGGCAUUUGUUAUUGCUUGUUUCAAGGGUGCUCGCAGUGUUUUCAUGUUGCUGACUAAUGAUUAAUACUUGUGGUGCUGAGAAUUAUAUUGGUGAAAGAAUACUAAUUGUUCAGUUCUUAAAGAAAUCUUUUUUUGUAGCUACACACAAUGUAUUACCAAAGUGUGUGUGUGUGUGCGUGUGUGUUUUAGCUGUUCAGUAUUAAAUUGUUUUAAGUUCUCUGACAGUUGAUUCAUAAACUAUACUUUAAACAGAGUUAAUCAUUGGUAAGAUUUAAAGUAAAGAUGUGAAAGACUAUAUCCUCAGGCUGAAAAUAGUAAAUACAUAAGUAAUAUCAGGUGCUAUCACUAAGGCAUAAAGAGUAAGAAUGCGUACCAUCAUAUUGUUGUAGUUGUAAGGAAUGAUGACAAGGGCCAGGAAUCCCUCCCCUUAUUAUUAUUAUUUUUAUUAUUAUUAUUUUUUUUUUUUAACAAAAAAUAUUGAUUGAUUUACUUUUUAGGAGAAUUAUCUUAUUUCAUUUUCCACUGUCUUGCUUGGAAAUUACCUUGCUGAACAGGAUAAAUUAAGUUCCUUGAAAAGUCUUAAAUGUUGUGAUUUUAGAUUAUUUUUCUUUAGUUUCUAAGGUAAAAUUACAGCUAUACAACUGUUAAAUCUGGUAAUGAUAAAGUAUAAGUGUCUUCUCUUGCUUACUAAUGGCAUCAACCCAAUUGUAAACCCUAUUGUGAUAGCUGAAGAUCUUGUCAAAAUAAACUUAAGUCCACUGAA